ensembl:lncRNA
GUCUUUUUAUAGAGUUCAUAGCAUGAUUUAUCUCUUAGCUAAUCACUAUUAGCAUGUAGCUAUUCACUGCUAGCAUGACUAGCAUGUUGGAAUUCCAGUUUGCUAGCAUGAGUCAAAAGAGCCAACCGCCAUGUCUGUACGAUGUUCUGAUUGAGAGAUAUAGAUCUUGCAAAAUGGUUGCUAGGGAACUCUGUUUGGUUGCUAGGGAGUGGCUUGGCAGCUCCCAAUGAUGAUACUCCAAAGGAUGCUUGACAAUAUAAGCCAACCCCCAUGUCUCUACGAUGUUUUGAUGCAGAGACAUAGGUCUUGCAAAACUGUUGCUAGGGUACUCUGUUUGGUUGCUAGGGAGUGGCUUGGCAGCUGGGAAUGAUGGCUGCUUUCUAGUAUAAAUGGUAUAAACCAACCCCCAUGCCUUUAUGAUAUUCAGAUUUGAAGAUAUCGAUCUAUUCUUUGGGUUGCUAGGGUGGUUUAAAUGGUUGCUAGGGCGUGGCUAUGAAGUCUUGAAGGUGAUUUGUGAUUGGUUGUUUGCUGCCCCGAGUCAAACGAGCCCACCCUCAUGUUUCUAUGACACUUCUAUCCAAAGAUAUUAAUUUGAUCUUUUUCAAUGGAAGUCUAUGGAGAUUGUUACUAAGAGGCCCUAAAGGGUUGCUAGGGCGUGGCUUGAGUGCUUCACAAUGAUCCAGACAGACUGAUUGGUUGCCUGAUUAAAAUGAGCCCACCCCCAUGUCUCUAUGACAUUGUGUUCCAG